GUGUUUGAGCCCUAAGAGAAGAUAAUUGAUUGUCGUUCUCACUAUUUUCUGCCUAAACUGCAGCUUUGAAUGUCAGAACAACUUGUGUGCGGCCCACAGCCCUUACAGGGUUAAUAAGGUCAUUGUUGGGCGGAGUCUCUUAUUCAGAGCUGAGCAAUUUGAUUGGCUUUUGAACUAAUUAGGAACGUUCAGGUGAAAUGGAGGUGGUUAAUAAACACGAUCAUCAGCCGUAAAGGGUCAUUUGUCUGUUGCAGUUCUGACCAGUUCAUCCUCCCAUGGGACUUUGUCUGCUUGUGGGCUUAGCCCUGUCUCCUCUGACCCACUCAUCAUGGAUGUGAUUCUGCUGUGAUGUUCGCAGUUCAGCAACAUGGCCACUUUCAUCUGUAAUUAGCGAAGGUGAACUGGGCCACAGGCAACUCAAAUCACUUGCCCCCAGGCCCAGAAUGAACAAAUCCGUUGCCUGCUUUGUGCUCAUUGGAACAGUUUAAUAAUGAUUUAAUAAUGGAGUUUCCUCUGAUGAUCCCAAUGGACUUGCUGUGGGACUUCUCAGUGCUGCUGCCAUGGGGUCUCCCCAAUAUCAGGCUUAAUGGGGGGACACGAGAUUAAGCAAAUGGCGUUGAAUCAAGAGAAUAAAAUGAAUGGGACAAGAGAAGCAGAAGAAAAGGAGUCAAACGGAGGAAGAUCCCGAGAGCCGUGGGGUGAAAAGGACAAGAGAACCCUCCACGAGGAAAAACAUCCCCAAUGAAUUUACGUUCUGAAGCCACAUUUCCAGAUUUGGUCUGUAUUUGUCUCACGGGUUUUGUUUCAUGAAAUGAAGAAUAUUCUGUCUCCGGAAAGGAGUUGCAAAUUGGGAGGC